GGAGCUGUAACUCAGCUGGUAGAGUGGCAGAUUGCAAUUCCUGUUGAACAGUUAACACUAGAACAUAGUUUAACUUAACUGGAGCAAUUCAUCUGUAAGUCCCGCGUUCGAGUCGCGGCAGUUCCU